UGGGGAAUAUUGCGCAAUGGAGGCAACUCUGACGCAGCCAUGCCGCGUGUGUGAAGAAGGCCCUCGGGUUGUAAAGCACUUUCAAUUGGGAGAAAAAGCUUGUCGUUAAUAGCGGCAAGCCUUGAUGUUACCUUUAGAAGAAGCACCGGCUAACUCCGUGCCAGCAGCCGCGGUAAUACGGAGGGUGCGAGCGUUAAUCGGAAUUACUGGGCGUAAAGCGCGCGUAGGCGGUUGCUUAAGUCGGAUGUGAAAGCCCCGGGCUCAACCUGGGAACUGCAUUCGAUACUGGGCGACUAGAGUACGAGAGAGGGAGGUAGAAUUCCACGUGUAGCGGUGAAAUGCGUAGAUAUGUGGAGGAAUACCGGUGGCGAAGGCGGCCUCCUGGCUCGAUACUGACGCUGAGGUGCGAAAAGCGUGGGGAGCAAAACAGGAUUAGAUACCCUGGUAGUCCACGCCGUAAACGAUGUCUACUAGCCGUUGGGGUACUUGAGACCUUAGUGGCGCAGCUAACGCACUAAGUAGACCGCCUGGGAGUACGGCCGC
rnacentral:rRNA from 1 species